CAGUCGCCGCGGGAAUACGUAGGUGGCAAGCGUUGUCCGGAAUUAUUGGGCGUAAAGGGCUCGCAGGCGGUUUCUUAAGUCUGAUGUGAAAGCCCCCGGCCCAACCGGGGAGGGUCAUUGGAAACUGGGAAACUUGAGUGCAAAAGAGGAGAGUGGAAUUCCACGUGUAGCGGCGAAAUGCGUAGAGAUGUGGAGGAACACCAGUGGCGAAGGCGACUCUCUGGUCUGUAACUGACGUUGAGGAGCGAAAGCGUGGGGAGCGAACAGGAUUAGAUACCCCAGUAGUCCCUGUCUCUUAUAC
rnacentral:rRNA from 1 species